rnacentral:rRNA from 1 species
AACGAACGCUGGCGGCAGGCUUAACACAUGCAAGUCGAACGCAUCCUUCGGGGUGAGUGGCAAACGGGUGAGUAACGCGUGGGAACGUGCCCUUCAGUUCGGGAUAACCCAGGGAAACUUGGGCUAAUACCGGAUACGUGCGAGAGCAGAAAGAUUUAUCGCUGAAGGAUCGGCCCGCGUAUGAUUAGCUAGUUGGUGGGGUAAUGGCCCACCAAGGCGACGAUCAGUAGCUGGUCUGAGAGGUUGAUCAGCCACAUUGGGACUGAGACACGGCCCAAACUCCUACGGGAGGCAGCAGGGGGGAAUAUUGGACAAUGGGCGCAAGCCUGAUCCAGCCAUGCCGCGUGAGUGAUGAAGGCCUUAGGGUUGUAAAGCUCUUUCGUCCGGGACGAUAAUGACGGUACCGGAAGAAGAAGCCCCGGCUAACUUCGUGCCAGCAGCCGCAGUAA